rnacentral:lncRNA from 10 species
CUGAUUUUGGACAUCUGAUCUAGGCAGUAGGAAACAAAAGAGAAAGGAAGCUGAAGCCUCUUCAUUAUUUAGAUGGAAAAAAUAUGACUCUGGGUUAUAACGGAACAAUCCUUCAUGGCAAGCCUCCAUGGGAGCCCACACGCAAGAUAAAUAUCAGCAAAUGGCAUGCAGGAAAUGGAGUUUGUUAGAUAAAUUGUCUGUAGGUGAGGCUUCCGUGAUAGAGCAUUCCCUUUUCUCCGCUCACGGAAGACACUUUCAUUUGUAGAGCCGCUCUUCAGCGCUGAUGCCCACCAUUAAAGUUACAGGAGCAGCAACGACAAGAAAGCACUGGUAGGCUGUUAGGAUUGCUGGUCAAACCUCAAAGAAGGUGGAGUUGAAAUUUGAGAGUCACUGAUGAGGCAGCCCUGAAAUUUCAUUAACAAUCAAUAAAGCCUGUCAUCGCACAGCUGCAGAGAAAAUGCACUCUUACAAUUGAACAUCUACUAUUGGUAGGAAAGACCAGGGUUAGCAGCAAUCAAACUCCUGUUCAGUACUUCUUCCUCAGCAACCCCACACAGAGGUAAUCAUUGUUACCUCUGUACUCCUAUACCUUACACAUAGGGUUAUCUUGUGUGUUCACUCCACAUUGUCAUUAUUUGUUUACAUGACUAGAUGCUGAUUACAGAUUCUUCAAGGGCAAGGACUGGAUCUUGUUCACUAUUGUGUCUACAAUGCCAUACCGGACACACAGUAGAUCUUAAAAACAUUAAGUGAGAGAAAGCUGAGGAGUUUGGUAGACUGCUUUAAAGAAGUGUAGAUACCAAAUUAUAGCUCAUUUGCCAUCCCCAUGUCACUUAAAGAACCUAGGCAUGUCAUGGUUAGUCCUGGAUACCAUAUUUUAGAGCAUUUGGGAAAUUAGAGUGUGUUCACUGUUGGAGAUAGGAUGGGUGGUAGCAGAGUGGGGAAAUGCUUGGCAGAAUCUGGAAACCAUGUCAAAUGGAAGAACUGGGAAUGAUUAAUUUGACUGAAAGAAGGCAAAGGAAAGACAUGGUUACUCUCUUCAGAUAUUUGAAAAGCUCUCAAGUGGAAAAGGUAGUUAGAUUUGUUCUGUAUUACCCCAGAGGGCAAAUUAAGGUCAAUGAUUAAAAAGUAAAAGGAAGCAGAUUUUAGCUCACCAAAAGAAAGAGUAUUCUAAAAAACCAACAAACGACAACAACAAAACAAACAACAAAAAACUCCAACAGAAUGCAACAAUAGUGGAAAAACAGUGACCUCUGUCUUUGAAGUGAUGAAAGCAAAUGGCAUAAGCCUCUAGAAUCCCUUCCAACGUAGAGUUUCUAAUUCUCCACGUACACCAGCAAUAUAAGCUUUUUUCCUAGACACUGUCUUCAAUAGGUAGGAGGGCAGAGGAGAUAGCAUGGAGCUCCUUAAGAUGGAAGAGAGAGGGAGAGGAGAAAGUCCCUGAAAGGCAAGAGGAGAUGGGUAGUUCUGAAGACAAAUUUUCUUGCUACAGUUUUGGCUAAUGCCUCUUCUAGUCAAAGAAAGCAGCUAACUGCAAUAAGUAGGGUAAUGUUUAAAAAAAUUAAUAAUAAGCAAAAUUAUUUGGCAUGUGGGGGAAAGCCACAUCUUUUUGAAAGUUGUUACAGUACUUAAAAGAUCUGCAAUCACACAUCUGUUUUCUUGUUUGGUUUACGGUUGAAGGAAUGGGAACAGAAGACUCCAUGAAAUUGAAUGACACUUCACAUUGAUAAGCAUUUCUGAAACAAUAUGGUAGCAAUUUGAGGAAUACAUUACAUUCUCAAGCUGCAUAAAGAAAGAGCAAAGAAUAUAACCUUUAAUGCUUAAUUUUAAUAGAUAAUCUUACUUGUUACAAAUACAGCAUUUCACAAUGAAAGCCUGUGCUUCAGUUCAGUAAUACGAUAAGACAUGGCUUGUAAAAAUGAGAAUUGAGUUUAACUAUGCUUGUGUUUUAUUUUUCAUUUAUCAUUGUGAAUUGCUUCUAAAUAAGAUUGUCUUACUUUAUUAAUUUGCAUAAUUACUGAAAAAUACCAUGUGAUUCCAAAUAACAAGCUUCUGAGAAUAUCAUCUCAGAUUUACUGUGACAUUAUUCUGAAAGUGACAAAACUUGAUACACAAUUAAGAGUAAAAGUGUAUAAGCUCAUUUUGUUGCCUUUGAGUCUUCAAAAUAUAAAGAGGUUAUGUGGAUUAUACAAUGAAUUUUUGUGCUCAGAUGCUGAACAGCUUGAAAGCCAAAAACAACUGGUAAGUAUGAUAAUAUUGUAAAGUAACAAUAAGCCUGGUUUUGACAGAUAGGAGCCAGGUGGAGUUUUUUGUUUUUGUUUUUUUAAUUGAAUCAAGACUCUUGAAGAAAGAUGAGACAAGUCUCCAAUGAAAAUCUAAAAAUACUUGUUCAAAUGUAUUUGUAUUUUUUGAAUAGCACCCUUUCAAAUUAGCUUGACAGUCUCUGGUCCCAGUCAGAAAAUCCUGAUGCCCUGUUUGAGUUCAACCAGUCAGCAAGUACAAACAUUUCACUCAGCUGGAUCUUCAAAAACGUGGGCGAGGUGGAAAACAUGGAUAUGGAUAAAAAGCUGCAAGCCGUAUAUUCACUAUCACACAUUGUUUAAAGAGCCAAGUAGUAAAUGCUCCUCUUUAGGUGGAGGCUGCUCAAAUACAACAAGGCUCACUGAUAAAAUAAAUCCCGUGGCCUGUCUUGGGCAAGCUGAUGAACAGGGCCCCUGACUGUCUUCCCUAACAUCCCAGGGAUAGCAGCAGAACAAAAGCAGAGACAAAAGCCACACCUCUUUCUCCUGCCUCCCACAUCCUCCUCUUAAUCAUUUGAAACUGAAAGUUUGGUAACGGCAGUCCUGCCUAAAAUAUUGCUUGUUUACUUAAGAUGACAUUCCAGAAGCUGAAAAGUGGUAAUUACAAUCCUGCUCUCCUUUCUUUCGAGUCAUGACUUCAGUAAAUUUGUGACUUUCAUGAGAAAGGAACAUCGUGGCUGAAGAAUGAUAUAUAAAAUAAAAACCUUUGUAUCCUAUGCAGAAUCUUGGCAGGAGAAUUGUAUUUUUUCUAGUAAUUAACUGGGUGACACUGAUUCUCUUAAAAGGUCUCAGUAUUGUUUCACGCACUCCAGCCUUCAGUCUCCAACCAGAUGAAGAAUCUUAUUUGUCUGUUGUUGGGUCAAAAGAUGUUCCCCACAGCUGUUGGGAAUCUUAUUGCCUGGGUAAAAUAACAGGGCAUAUUUCACAGGAACUGUUCAUGUGGGCUGUGAGCUUGUUGUGAGGCACAAGGCCAACAGCUGGAUGGAAAUGGCAGGUUCUGGGCCAGCUGAAACUCUCUGCUUUCAAGUUUUGCGUGUUGUGCACAUACACAUAAACACACACACACAGACACACACACACUUACACGACCAGCCUGGGAAUGUUAAACAACUCCAGAUUUAUUUUUUAAUAUGAACGAAAAUGUCUAGUGUGACCUAGAGGAUUGGCAGAACCAGGCAAGCCUACUCUCUCACCACAGGCUGGAGGCGUCUGGGCCAGGCCUAAGAAGUGGCUGCAGACCAUGGAGAUGAAGGGUUUGUGAGGGCAGGCUCAUCUCCUCAGCAGGGUGAUGCAGAAAGGAAGGAAAAAUAAUGCAAAGCAACUUAGCCAUCAUAGCAUCUGAAUGAUUAUCUAGCCAAACUCAUACUUUUUAAGAAAAGGAAACUGAAGCCCAAAGUACACAGUGAACCAAAAGGAACCAUUUCCUAAUUAGGUCCCGGUUAAGGCCUUCAGAGAGUCUAGUAAACUCUAAAAGGAUUGUGGUGUCCACCAGUAUGUCAUUCAGUACAAAACAUUAAACAGUCUAAUGAGGUAGUAUAACACUGAUUUUUUCCCACUAGGGUUAACUUAAAAUAUGUUUUUGGAAGUAUUUCAUGUCACAUGCUUUCAGAAAUAGUUUCUCCUAUCAUUAGACACCCCCUAGUGUGCUGGUGCUCCGAGUCUACGCUUAUCUUGCCUAUUGAGAAUCCAGCUUUUCUUCUGACCCCAGGGCUGAGCAAUUUCCACACCCUUGUAACCUUCCUCAUCCUCUAUCCUUGAGUGAUGGACUGCCUGGACUGGCAGGUUCUGGCAGGUUCCCCUUUCCAGUCUGCAUCCAGGGGCAGGGAGGAGAGGGAGGGAGAGCGCCUUCACAUUAGCCAUGCCAGGUAGCUGCUCAGCCUCCUCUAGAAAGUGCCAGGGAGGACAAUACAUUCUCUCCUAGGAUGGUCUGUUCCGUUUCCAGACAAUAGCUCUGAUUCUUAGAAAGUUCUUUCCUGGGUUAAUUUGGAGUGGUCUUGCUAUAGCCUCCACUUCAUAACAUUGGGCUUUGAGGCCCAUGGACAGAACUUUACAUUCAUCUUACUGAAUUGUGUUUGUUAUUAAAACCACAAAGAUAUUUGUAGAUCUUGUCUACCAUAUUACCAUCCUUCCCUAUUUAUUUAUUUAUUUAAGACAGGGUCUUUCUCUGUUGUCCAAGCAGGAAUGCAGUGGUGUCAUUAUAGCUCACUGCAGCCUUGAGGCUCAAGUGAUCCUCCC